AAGCAUGAUCAAUCUUUUCUUCUCUGGGGGUAGAGAAGGAGGAGUCUGAUUUAAUUAAGAAGGACAUUAACUCCAAGCACCUACCUAAUCAAAUAUUAACUAUAUUCAGAACAAUCAAAUGAUGAUAGUUUUGUAGUGAUUUAAAUGUUUCUCUCUAUAGCUUCCUGGAUCUUUUUUCACAGUACUUCUUAUUUUUACUAAAAAACCUGGUCUUAGUUUAACCUUCAGAUGUUCUGUGUUUUAAUGACUGGCUGAUGGGAACCUCCUGCAAUAGAUAUCUUUAUUACUAUAUUUUAUAUCCUAGAAAUUGAAGAGGAUUUUGUAUAACUGAAGUAGAAACAGUGCUAUGAAUGGUGUAGUGAUGUAUGGUUGGAUGGAACACAGAGGAGAGCCAGGCACAGGUGGAAUUACAUUAAUCCUUGAAAAUCUGGGGUUCCAGACUUGCAAUGGAACAAAAUGAUGCCAAGCCCAGCUUUGACACAUGCAGGAGUAUCUGGAUGCUCUGGAUUUCUAGGGGGUGCAUUUGAAAACAGUAAAAAUCAUACAUAAACACAACCUGGAAUCAUUUUUCUUUCUUUUUUUUUCUCAGUUCUUUGGGCAAAGAAUUAAGUCCUUGUUUUGGAAGGAUGGGAGGAGGUUUGUUUUUUUUUACUGGUUAAAAACUAGGACCAUGCUAUUUACUCAAAUAUAAAUCUGUGUUCCUCAUUCUGUGACUUCUCCCCAAAUCAACUCUAAAUCCUUUCCUUACUGGAGGGUCAUCUUCUCACUUUUUGUGAGAUGGAAGGGUUGGUUAAUCCCAGAUUUCUUUAGAGGCAUAAGUCCUCACCUUCAUCUAUAUUGUUG